AGCUUUGCGCAGUGGCAGUAUCGUAGCCAAUGAGGUUUAUCCGAGGCGCGAUUAUUGCUAAUUAAAUAUAAGAGCUAACACUAUAAAACUUUUAGAAGAAAAUAUACAGGUAAAUCUUUGUGACCUUGGAUUUGG